GCUGUCUGUGGCACCGCAGUGACUCAGACAGGACAGCCCGGGGCCCGCGGCGGCGCUCCUGGUGUGCAGGCCCCCGCGGCGGCUCUGCCUCACUCCAGCCCACGCUGGAGAACAGCCUCGAUGCUGCGCUCUGUCUGAGCCCAGGGGAUUCCCACAAACCCACCUAGGGGCAGGGGGACCCGCAGGACACCUCUGGUGCCAUGAGCUCCCAGAACAGCCCUCAGCAAGGCCCAGGGCAGGACUCUGACGCCUCCUGCAGGGAGCCCCCAACACCAGGCAGGGAGCUGGAUCGGAAUUGAAGCGGCAGGGACUUGAGCCGGCGCUCGGAUCCGGGAAGCCAGUGUUGCAAGUGGAGGCUUAACCAGCCGCACCACUGCGCCGGUCUCAGGUGUGUUUGUUUUUCGAUGAGAUUAACACUGAAGUCACAAGACCGUGAGUGCAGAGGUGACCCCGUCACCCAUCCUGUGGGCGGGCCUCGUGCGAUCAGGGGGAGACUUUCGGGGCGGAGAGGGAGCUCUCCUGGAAAAGCAGGUCUGCCCAGGUCAGCAGCCUCGAAACCCUGCCCGAGCUCCCAGCCCGCCGCCCUGCAGAACCCAGACCCAAGAUGUCAACAGCAACGCACCUGGUCUUCCAGGUGCCCUGCGGGCGUCAGACCCGUCAGUCCUGCCGUGCUCCAUAGCCCUGUGAGUCAAUUCCUGAACACAGACCUCUGCCGCCAUCUUAUCGGGUUUCCCUGGAGAAGACUACUGCAAUACGUACACAAGCAGUGUGAGCCCUGGUGAACACCCACUGUGCGCCAGGCACCUGCUACGCUCUGUGAUCAGUCCCAUUUCACAGGUAAAGAGGCUGAGGGGCCGGCACCGUGGCUCACGUGGCUAAUCCUCCGCCUGUGGCGCCGGCA